CAGCCGCCGCGGUAAUACGUAGGUGGCAAGCGUUGUCCGGAAUUAUUGGGCGUAAAGCGCGCGCAGGUGGUUUAAUAAGUCUGAUGUGAAAGCCCACGGCUCAACCGUGGAGGGUCAUUGGAAACUGUUAAACUUGAGUGCAGGAGAGAAAAGUGGAAUUCCUAGUGUAGCGGUGAAAUGCGUAGAGAUUAGGAGGAACACCAGUGGCGAAGGCGGCUUUUUGGCCUGUAACUGACACUGAGGCGCGAAAGCGUGGGGAGCAAACAGGAUUAGAUACCCGCGUAGUCCCUGUCUCUUAUAA
rnacentral:rRNA from 1 species